CCUACGGGUGGCUGCAGUGGGGAAUAUUGGACAAUGGGGGGAACCCUGAUCCAGCCAUGCCGCGUGUGUGAAGAAGGCCCUCGGGUUGUAAAGCACUUUCAGUGAGGAAGAACGCCUGGUGGUUAAUACCCAUCAGGAAAGACAUCACUCACAGAAGAAGCACCGGCUAACUCCGUGCCAGCAGCCGCGGUAAUACGGAGGGUGCGAGCGUUAAUCGGAAUUACUGGGCGUAAAGCGCGCGUAGGUGGCUCGAUAAGCCGGUUGUGAAAGCCCCGGGCUCAACCUGGGAACGGCAUCCGGAACUGUCAAGCUAGAGUGCAGGAGAGGAAGGUAGAAUUCCCGGUGUAGCGGUGAAAUGCGUAGAGAUCGGGAGGAAUACCAGUGGCGAAGGCGGCCUUCUGGACUGACACUGACACUGAGGUGCGAAAGCGUGGGUAGCAAACAGGAUUAGAUACCCUAGUAGUC
rnacentral:rRNA from 1 species